rnacentral:rRNA from 1 species
UACGUAGGGUGCGAGCGUUGUCCGGAAUUAUUGGGCGUAAAGAGCUCGUAGGCGGUGUGUCACGUCGGCCGUGAAAACCUGCAGCUUAACUGUGGGCGUGCGGUCGAUACGGGCAUCACUGGAGUUCGGCAGGGGAGACUGGAAUUCCUGGUGUAGCGGUGAAAUGCGCAGAUAGUCAGGAGGAACACCGGUGGCGAAGGCGGGUCUCUGGGCCGAUACUGACGCUGGAGGAGCGAAAGCGUGGGGAGCAAACAGG